AGAUGUGAGAGUGAUCUGGCUGUGACAUCUGUCACCCGACUGGUUCCCAGGCUGACCCACUGAUCUGGCUGGCUGAGCCGUGCCCCUUCCUCCCUCAAUGCUCCAAAAGUGUCCUCCCGAAGCUGAACACUCAAUGAAGAGGACAAGCUUUCCUAAUAGAAGAGGACCAUACUUUGCUAAGGGCUAUACAAGGAGCUGUGCUCCACUGCUAGAACCUCCAAACAAGCUCUCAAAAAGUAUUAAGGAGAUAACAAAGAUUCACCUAAAUUUAAAUAGAGGAUUUCAGAUUGAAGGGCUU
rnacentral:snRNA from 1 species